rnacentral:lncRNA from 1 species
AGAGCAAGGCCGCCGCCAGCUCUCCCAGGAACCGUCGCGAGGCGUCCCCUCGGCGGCCGCCUCAGUUUCCCUGGCCGUAAAACGCGGGCGAUGGCGCUCGAUGCCCCGGGAGACGCCGGGGUCCGCGGGCCCUUCCGGCACCGGGUCCUCCUUCAGGUUCGGGCACCCGGCUGCCUCCACGCGGGGCGAGCGCGGCGAUGGGAUCGGUCCGUGCUGCGCUCAGCCCCGCUUUCGCUAUCCCUCUGCUCCAGGGGCAGCAAAAUCAGCAGAUGAGCCCCCAGCGCGCCUGCGGCCCACACACUGCGGCCGUAACAGUUAAACAGACGGGGAACAUUCAUGUGCGUAGAGCUCUUCACGGGGCGAUACAGAAAUGUGUCGUUCUAAAGCGUUAACGACCUGCAAUUUGCAUAUCCUCCAACACAUGGAUUUUACUGAUUCAAUUAUGGAUGUGUGCAAAGAAUCUGCUGCUCGGCGUCACCAGGCUGCUGAGGCUAAUACAGAAACGCAGACCAUAAAAAAGAUCUGCGUCCACGCUGCAGGCGGGCCUCACGCUGAGCUCCCCGUGUCGACCCGGGGACAAAGCCUGCUCAGGAAGAGCAGAGGGUUCCACGCCCUGCAGGACCAGCGCCCUGGGCCCCUCUCCUGGAAAGUUAUGACUCGCACGUUCCCAGGAUUUAGCGCACAUCUCCCCCACCCUCACUGCCAUUUCACAGAACCGGGGCAGCCGCAGGGCUCCUGCAGGACCUCCCGGACGCCGCGGGGCCGUGUUCCCUUGAGCGGCUUCUUGGGUCCCUGGUUGGAGAGGGGACCACCGAGCAGCUUCGCUCUGCUCCUGGGAGGCUACUUCUGCCACUGGACGACUUUCCAAAAGGGGCGUGGUGUCCUCAGUGCUGAGAGAGCCCCGCGACGGCGGUGCAGCUCCUCCAGGGCGCGCAGCCCCGCCACCUGGCGCCACCGCGAGGGAGCGCAGGCCCAGGGCCCGGGCAGACGCUGGAGGGGACGCGGCAGGUGAAGAUGGGGCACCUCCACUUCCCUUCUAAAGGAGCCUGGGAAUAGGCUAGGAAAUGUCCCCACUGUAGAAGACAGCAGGAACAUCUGACACGCGGAUAACCUGUGCUGAGCUCGUUAUAUUCCCAGCAUUUAAUUCUAGCCAUUAGGCAUGCGUUAGCCACAACUUCGCAUAGGAAGGUUAUUGCAGCUAUAUGGGAACACUUUCAGUUUCCCAAGUUAAAACAUGAAAUUGCACAUCAUCAUUUGGAUCCCCAAAGAGGAAAAGAAAAAUUCACAACCUGCCAGUGAAAUACUCAGGCCACUUGGAUGAAGACCGAGGUCCUCCAUAGAAUCCAGGUGUUAUUUACUAACUAAUCAGAAAUUAAUAUCAAAAUAGGACUUAAAAAUAACAAGGCUGUGUUAUUACAGCAGUCUUUCCAGUUGUGUACGCUUUACUAAUCUAAAUUGGGUAACAGAACUGGAGAAAAGGAAGACUACACAGACUUAUCAUAAGCUGUUAGUGAACGUGAUAGAAAUGCGUAAUUUGUUAAAGCGAAUUACAGCUCUGAUUUGUCAAAUGAGGAGGUGAAUUAUCCUAGGAUUUGCUAUGCUGUUGUGGCGUUAGAAGAUUGGAUCUUUAGCAGCAAAGGUAACCUCAACAAUAUUUUCUGCUUAAGAAAGUGCCUUGGUUAAGGUAGACCGUGAUAUCGUCUUUGACUAAGCUCUCUGGGCUAUUGAUUCUGUCAUAUUCCAAAGGCAGUAUUGGUUUGAAGCCGAAUCUCACGGUCAAUGUCAACAUGCAAUCCACAAAGACCCUGGCGCCCUUCCACGGUAUGCACUAACCAAAACUUUCUCACUGUGAAAUCCUUUUUUUAAAAACAAGAAAACAAAAAACAAAAACCAAAAAACCUUACUGUGAAUCCUUUCCCAAGGAAUGGUCCCACCUUCACCUCGGAAAGAGGCGUGGCUUGCUCUGUAAGCAGGUCCACCCUGAGGAGACCGCUGGUGCAAGAGCCCUGCUUGCAGAACACACAGGGGGUUUUCCCACAUUCUUACUGGAGUCAGAUUCGGCAAAGCAUUUCAAGCAACUGCUGGACACUUCAAAUACCACUCCCUGUUAACAACGCCCUGAGUAUCUCACUGUCUCCAGGAUCUGGUUUAAAGGGAAACACAGAAAUGGCCAACAGCUCCCUCCCCAGGCAGGACUGCGAUUUCACAGACAACCUAUAGGCAUCCCCAGUCUGGUGAAUAAACAGGAGAGUGAGAGGAAAACAGCAAUCAUUCAACUCCAGUAGAUGUAAAGCCUCCAGAAGAAUGUGUCCCGGGAAGGUCAGAAAUGUCAUUUUUUUCCUCCAGCACAUUUCAUCUGCCACAUUCCGCCGUCCGAUGUUUGAGGAAGGAGCCCCGCCUUUCCUUCAGGGGUUCUUGUCGCCAAGUUUGAUGGUGACAGUUUUCACUUCUGUGUAUUCGGCCAAAGCGUAUUCACCUCUGUGAUCACAGAAAAGAGGAAAAUUCAAAAUGGGUACAUCCCUUAGCCAUUGUGUAGAAACUGUUCUGAGGCUUCAUCAUUCCAUCAGGCCGUUGGAGGCUUAUGCAAAAGGUUAAAAUGUGACGACCUCAUGGAAUAAUAGCCAGGACUAUAACAGCACUAGUAAGUGUCAGUAGCUGCAUAUGUGACUUAAAUGUAAAUAUCAAGGUCUUCUUCUGUGUGAUGCUUUUGAAAUGGCCAGGACUAAGGGUUUCCCUUUAGAGAAUGAAGGGGAUUUUAAAAAAAGUAAAGAGGUGAAUUCCCUGGGGUGGCAAUAGAGAGCAAAACGAGAGAGCCUGGUGGACGGUGGGGUGUCUGUGAACGAGGGAGGGGCAGAAAUUACACUGGGUUGAUAACUUUUAGAUGGCAAUUGGGAGCUGCUUGAAGAGGAGACAGAAGAGGCAGAGGCCCAAAGCUAUUGGCUGGGGAUGUGGCCAGAGGACCAGUGGGAAGAACACCAAGGGCCUGAAGCUGGCCUCAGAGUGCACAGCUGGGGACCAGCUGUCAGGCAGUGAGGCCAGCCUAGGGGGCAUGAGAGAAGCAGACGUUAGCACAGAGUGGACAUGGGGAGGCCACAGCUUUUGGGUUCACAUCCUUGGUAUAGUUCCUUUCUUUAAAUCUUGCAGGGCUCAGGUGAUCCUUCCCUGGCACCAUGGGCCGUCUUCAGGGUAGCUUCCCUUCCAAGACCCAAGAGGCAGCUUUGGAGAGAUUUAAAUCCUUCUAAGCGCUUGAUCUGCUGUCAGGUGAAGAAAAAUGUGUGCUUGUUUAGGAAGAGAUGAAGGUAGAGGUGGCCACUGGAGUCUCUGUAGUUAAAAAGACCUGUGACAGAAUCCCAUCUCCUCCCUUAGAUCAAUGGUUCUCAAAGUGUGGUCCCCAGACCAGCAGCAUCAGCCUCACCUCUGAACUUGCUAGAAAUGUAGAUUCUCAGGCCUCCCCCAGCCCUACUAUCGUAGGCAGAAUAAGGAUCUCCCCAGGUAUCCAAAAUUGGAUCCCCCAAACCUGUGAAUAUGUUGGGCUACAGAGUGAAGAAUUAAUGUUGCAGAUGGAAUUCAAGUUACUAAUCAAUUGACUUUAAAAGAGGGAGACUCUCCUGGAUCAUCCAGGCAGACCCAGUGUAAUCACAAGGGUCCCCAAAACUGGCAGAAGAAGAGAGGCAGAGCAAAAUGAGAUUAUAGAAACAGGUUCAGAGAGCAGCAGUGCUGGCUUUGAAGAUGGAGGAUGGGGCCACCAGCCUAGGAAUGCGAGCAGCCUCUAGAGGAUGGAAAAGGCAAGGAAGUAGAUUCUCUCCUGAGAACCUCCAAAAAGGAAUGAAGCCCUUGAUUUUAGCUCAGGGAGACCUGUGUCAGAUUUUUAUCCUACAGAACUAUAAGAUAAUAGAUUUAUGUUAUUUAAGCCACUGAUGUUAUGGUAACUUCUUGCAGGAGCAAUAAAAGACUAAUAAACUUACUGAAUCAGAAACUCUAUGGUGGGGCCCAGACAUCUGUAUUUUAACAAGUCCUCCAAGUGAUUCUGAUGCAUACUCAAGUUGGAGAACCACUGGCUUAGAACUAUGUUGCUUAGGUAAGUUCUUUGCCUUCCCUGAGCCUCAACUUCAUCAACUAUCAAAUAGGAAAACCAUCACCUCCUUGUAAUUAUAACAAUUACAGAUAAUCAUGUAGAGCCCCUACUAUGUGUUAGGCAGAAAAUGAAUGGUAGGUGCCAUUGAGAUUUUUAGGUCAUUUCCUAAAACAAAUAGUUCCAGAACCCAUGAAAAUAAGUGAAUUAUUUUAUAAUCUUUCCUAAAUAAAACACAAAACAUAAAAGCCAUAAACAGAAUGCUAAAUUCUAUUUUUGUAGAGCAGAGACUCCAUUAAAAACUCCCAAAUGACAAACUAGAAAAAAAAUUUACAACACUGUGUGAAAAUCAGAGUGUGAUUUUCCUUAAUAUACAAAGAGCUCUUGCAAACCAACAAGAAAAACACAAAUACCCAAAUGGAAAAAUCAACAAAGGACAGGAAUAGUUAGUUUUCAGAAAAAGAAAUAUGAAUUACCAAUAAGUGUGAAAAUGGUGCUCAAUGCCAUCAUGAUUAAAGAAAUGUAACCAAAACAGUGGUGAGCCCAUUUUUCAUGUGGCAGAUUACUCAAUUUUAGUAAUUUAUUCUGAAAACAAUCUCCCACAAGUGUAUACUUCCACUUGUAUGCACAAGGAAGUACAUCAGCAUGGUUUGUAAUAGCAGAACCCCUUGGAAAUACACAAAAGUUCCUCAUGGGAGAUCAUCAAUAAAAAGAACGGAAGGAUAUCCAAAACCCAGUCUCAAUAACGAAAUGUAGCUUGCUCCCAUUUCAUUUGAAAACAGAAAAGAACACACAUAUAUAAAUCCAUUGUAUGCAAAUAAAAUGCACAAUACACUCUAAAAGUGAGAAUACAAUGUUGCAUUGUAAAAAUUCAAAGCCAAUAAUUAUUUAUCAAGUUAGUAAAGAAAAGAAACGCAAACAAAGUGAUGAAAUCAGAUUGAAUUAACACAUAACUAACACAUGCAGUAGGAUUACAGCAUUCCUUUAAGAAUCAAUACAGAGCUCCUCUCAUUCUUUCAUUUCUGAAGUUGCUGUCCUGGUUCAAAUUCUUGCUGCUCUUAUUCAACCCAGUGGGACAUCUCCUCAAUGGAUUCUCAGCCAGUCUCAACCACUUUGCAGUUCAAAGCUAUCCAGGAGCCCAGCCUUACUCCUGUUAAACCUCACCAGAAUGUCAGGAGGCACAGGGACUGGUGGCUGUGUUGUUCACUGCAGUAUGCUCAGAGCCUAGCAUCAUGCCUGGUGAAUCAAAGAUGCUCAAGAAGUAUUUGCCAAGUGAACAAAAGAAUGAAUGAGCAAAUGAAUGAUGGAACAACGUUUACCUCUAACAAAUGGGACUGAAGGUCAGGGAGGGAAGCCUUGACUUUCCAUAUCUCUAUUGCGUAGAUUUUUUGGUUACUAUAUCAUUUUUAUUCAGAAGAAAGGCUCCCAGGAGGAAGAGGAAUUUCAGGCUCCAUCCUGAGACCCGCACAGAAACAGCUCCCGGAGGGGCCCGUGGGUGGGCGGCCAGAAGCCAGCCCAGUCCAGGUGGCCGGGGACGGGGAAAACCAUGGAAUCCCCCGCACGAUGCUCCAGCAUUAAAAAAGGGGAACUUCUUGCAACAUGAAGACAUUAAUUAGAGACAACUGAAGACAGAAAUUGGUUUUCCAGGCAGUUUCUAGGCUCCUUGUGAAUUAUUUUUAAAUAUUUUAUCAAAAGCCUUGAGAAAAUAUAGGCCAAGGGCCUAAAAAACAGACAUUCAAAAAAGUCCCGAUGGAGGCUAACUGGCAGGAGGACACAUGGGCUGUGUCCAGUGAGUCCUCACCAAGCCCUGCUCUGUGCCAGGCGAGGGGGUGUUAAGGAGCCAAAAGCACUGUUAGGGUGGCAAGAGGGAAGGUUGCAAUGAGGGUGAAUCACCAGUGCAAAGCAGUACACACCAGGGAUUGGGGGCCCUGCAGCUUCUACGCCCAGGGACAUUUGCUUCGGGGACUGGAGUCCUUGCUGUGGCGUGAGGCUGUGUCUGGCGUCUGGGAGGAGGACUGUGUGGGGUCUGGGUUCCCCAGCCCUAAUGACCCAGCUGGUUGAAGGCAGCAGAUGAAAGGAGACAAAUGACCACGCAAACCCUGGGUGGCCUCAUGAACAGGUGGCGGACAAGGGUGAUCCCUGUUGAGCAAGGUCCUGCACUGCGGUGGGUCCAAGGACUAAGCUGCCAGCAUUCAUUUCUGACUGUCACUUACCAGCUUCCUGUGCCAUUUUCUCAUCUGAAAACAGCUGGACCCAUCUCAUGGAUGGGCGUGAGGAUGGUAUGAAGGAACAGGCAUAGAGAGCUCAACCGAGCCUGCUGCAGAGUCUGUGCUCAGCAAAUCCCAGCUGUUGCCAGUACUGUUGCUGUUGGAGGGCCCAAGAGGGGACCCUGGUGACCCCAGCCCUGGCUGCCUGUCCCUGGAGGGGCAGGUGUAAGAAGUGAUGAAGCAGGGGCUCACAGAACUCAAAUGCAAACAGGCCACUAGAGGGAGGAAAUGCAAUUUCUGCAAAGGGGUUUCAUGGCCAACAAUUACUGAUGUCCGCUGAAGGCGAAGCCAGCCACAGGGAUAAGGGGGAAGGCUAAUGGACAGGCUUCACUCACAAGUGCAGACGCCUUGGAGUAUUUGCUGAGAGUCAGGGAUGGACUACAAAGCAGGACUGAGGUGGGAGGGGGACAGGACCCCAAUUCCACAUAGACUGGUCAAGAACAUCUGUUUGGGGAUGGAAGCCAGGCCCAUCCCUUCACAGCAUCUUUAAGAAUCUCAAAAGAGAGCCACACAAAGGCCCCAACCAAGGCCCAAGGUGAGGGGAAGCGUUUGAGUCUGUUCCCGCUGGAAGAAGUGCAAACAAGGGACUACAUUUGUAUAUAAAUAGGACAGACUAGUGAAAUAAAAGGAAGAGUUUGGGUCCCUAGAGAUGUCCCAGGAACCUGGGGUGUUGUCACAGAUGGUUCCUUGGGAACACUGAUCCUACAAAAUGUUUGUCCACACAGGCUAAUAAAAUCCUGAGCUGGGGAGAGAAGACAGUGUCCGGCUGGAAACCACACAUCUCCACUCCCGGGUUGCUCUAGCCAGCUCUGGGUGUGGGCCAGACGCAAGAAGUUCCACCCAUUAAUCUAAACCUAGGGAACUCAUUUUCCCAGCAGGCAGGACAAAAAAGGAAGUGUGGAGGGGUUUGCACACACAGUGGAGGGGUUUGCAGUGGGUUUGCACACACACGAAGGGGUUUGCAGUGGGUUUACACACACGGAGGAGUUUGCACACACAUGUGGAGGGGUUUGCAGUGGGUUUGCACACACUGGGGUUUGCAGUGGGUUCACACACUGAGGAGUUUGCACACACAUGUGGAGGGGUUUGCAGUGGGUUUGCACACACAGUGGAGGGGUUUCCAGUGGGUUUGCACACACACAAAGGGGUUUGCAGUGGGUUUACAUGCACACGUGGAGGGUUUGCAGUGGGUUUACACACACGGAGGAGUUUGCAGUGGGUUCACACACUGAGGAGUUUGCACACACAUGUGGAGGGGUUUGCAGUGGGUUUGCACACACACGGAGGGGUUUGCAGUGGGUUUACAUGCACGCGUGGAGGGUUUGCAGUGGGUUUGCACGCGCAUGGAGGGGUUUGCAGUGGGUUUGCACACGCAUGUGGAGGGAUUUGCAGUAGGCUUGCAUAUACUGAGAGGGCCGCAGAGGCCCAGCAGGAGGUGUUGUCAUAUGCCUCCUGGGAGGAGGUCCCCUACUAGGCUCAGAAAAAAGGACCCAGCAGGUAGGAGCCUUACCUGGGUCAGCCUUACCUGUCUUCACUGCUGUGAGUGGGGAGUUGUGUGAAUAAUGACACCCCACAUCUGGCAAAAGUACACUUUUUCAGUUCUGCCUGUGUCCCCGUCCAGGGAGCUUUUGUCAAAUAUCCACUGAAUGUCCCCAGCAUGAUGGCUGCUGGGCAGACACAAAAGCCGAGGCCUGGAGGGGGGCAGGCUGAGGAUGUAAGUGGGAAGGGUGGGCUGGAGAGAGGAAGGGAUGGGUCCCCACCAACCCUAGAGGGACACAGCUGGCCCAGACAGAGCGGCGGUGUGGGGGGGACGGGGUGUCAGCAGAUUGGAGCCUGUGUCACUGCCUGCAAAUCUAGUGGAUCUAGUGUUCAGCCCACGGCAGGCUCAGAAUGAUGGAAACACUUACAGUUCUCUGCCAUUUCCUGACAUUUUAAAGCCACCAAAUGGAGCCUGUGCAUAGAGGGCGUUGUAGCAGUUGAUCCUAGAAAAGAAUGGAAGAAAGCUCAGAGUCAUCUGGAGAAGACCCCCUGGCUCCUGGCACUGCAGCCACUUAGCCCCCAGUGCAGGGCAUUGUCUAAUAAACAGUCUUUUGCCAAAGCUUCCUUGAUGAAAACACAGGGUGCUCUCAACUUUUGUCUUCUCAUUCUUCUCAUCAGCAACUAAAAUUUGGAAAUCCUCAAGUACAGAGUGUGUUUCAUUGGGAUAGGAAUGAAAUGAUAAGGGGAGAAAAAAGAAGAGAGGGCCAGGCAUGAUGACUUAUGCCUGUAAUCCCAGCACUUCGGGAGGCUGAGAUGGAUGGAUCACCUGAGGUCAGGAGUUCAAGACUAGCCUGACCAACAUGGUGAAACCCCAUCUCUACUAAAAAUACAAAAAUUAGCUGGGCGUGGUGGCGUGCACCUGUAGUCCCAGCUACUGGGGAGGCUGAGGCAGGAGAAUUGCUUGAACCUGGGAGGUGGAGGUUGCAGUGAGCCGAGAGUGUGCCACUGCACUCCUGCCUGGGGGAAAGAGCAAGACUCCAUCUCAAAAAAAAAAAAAAAAAAAAAAGAAAGAAAGAAAGAAAAAGAAAAAUCAGGGUGUAGAGGAAUAAGAAUUAGCUUUGAAAUGAGACAGAACUGACCCCAAAGUUCUCCUGCUUCCUGGUUAUAUGAUUCUGGGCUUAUUGCUCAACCUCUCUGAGCCUCAAUUCAUUAAUCUUUAAUAUGGGGAUCACAAAACAUAAUCUGCAGAAUUACUGAUGAGGCAGAGACUAGUAUCCACAUUUUGCAGAUGGGCAUGAACUGCUUUUAGAAUCAGAAUGGAAAAUAAAGUUGGAGGGGCAGUACAGCACAGGGGCCACAGGCACAGGUACUGGAGCCCUCUCGGCCAUCUGCUAGCUGUGUGACCCUGGGCAAGUCACUUCAUCUCUCUGUGCCUCAAUUUUCUCAUCUCUGAAAUGGAGACAUAAUGGCAGCUACCUCAGAAGAUGGUCAUGAGGAUGGAAGGAAGCACUGAGACAGGGCUUGGUAUAUAAUAUACAAUGUAAACAAUGAGAAACUCUCAGUUAAUAGAAGAAUAAUGAACUUAGCAAGAAGCAACUCAGGAGAGCUGAAAUACACACACAGUCAACUCACCAGACCGUUCCAGACUCUAAGGCAGAAGCCAACUUCAGGGCUUUGUCGAGAUUUUUUGUGAACACGGCUGCUGUGAGUCCAUAGUCGGUGCUAUUCGCUCUUUUUAUCACUUCUUCGAUACUUUUGAACUUCAGUAUUGGUUGCACUGGCCCGAAAAUCUAUGAUUAAUUGCAAGAAUGGCAAUGAGAGGCAUGACUGAAUGGAAAUGCAUGCUGUGAACAAGCAUUUCCUUCUCUUUACAUGUUUUUCAUAUGCCCAGAGCACACACAUGCCUGAAAAACGAUGAUUAGAGAAGAAAGAACGUCCAAACAUUGCUUCAGCUGCAUUGCCAUUGGAGACUGAAGGGAAGGAUUAACAUGAAACAAAAAUAAAAAAUAAUAACAAAAAAUAUAUGUUGUGUUUAAGAUGUCUUGUUGUCAUCAGGGUUUCCGAGAAACCCAGCCAGAGAGCCUUGGAGUAACCCAUAGAUGCACAGAACACAAAACCUUUAGGUAACUUUUUUCGGAGUUGUCCUGAAGGAUAUCUGCAGGCACUUUGUAAGACUGUGCUCCUACCUCUUGGAGCUGUGUUUUCUACCAAGGAAGACACCCUAGAACGUUUCCAUAAUAACUACCAGGGGAAGGAAUGACACAAUAUUCACCACAGUUUGUGACACAGCAAAGAAAAGGAAAUGGAAGAACUAAGGCUUGAACAUUUAAAGGUGAUUUUGAAGGGAGCUUGUAAUUGAUUCAAUAUUAGACAUAAUUAUAAGCCGGCAGGAUGGUGCCUGGCCUGCCAAAAUACCUUCCGGGUUCCCCAGGACCUCUCGUCACAGGGAUGUUUAAGGAGCUGAGCUUCAUGCCAUCACGGCACAUAACAAUCUCAAGGAAGACGCCUCUGAAAUACCUGCCCCAGAAAGCCCUUGGCAGGGACUCAUCCUUUUAUGUGCCCCAAAAUACCACCUCCAGGGUCUAACCUCCUGGGAUCCAGCUCUCCUCUUACAAAUGCUGUGUGGGAACCAGUUCCCGUCUAGUGUAACAGUGGAGUUGAAAGAGAAAGAUUUACACUCUUAUGGGAGUGGGGGAGUCUCCUUAAUUUCCCUCAUUUUCAAGACGUCCGUGGUGGAAAAUGUCAAUAAAAAUUCCAGCUGUGACAUGUUCCUUGAGUGAACACUUGAAAUUCAGUCUAGGGGCACUGAAGGCGGCUUUGGGCCCUGAAUCCACAGGUUCUUGAACUGAUUCCUGGCAAAACCCACAGGUGGCAACAGUUCUCCACCUGCGGCUGCAUGACUGACUCGGGGACCGGUUGUGUUAGAAAAUCAGAGAGGGCUUGCUGCUCCCAGAGAGGGUGAGCCAUGAGUGAAAACUAGCUAGAACAAACAAGGUACCUGCUGUAUCAUGCUUGGAGUUCGCCAGAGGCAGGACAAAACGGCUUCCCUAGGGACCCCAAAGGAGAGGGGAAAGACCACACAGAAAAAACAACAACGACAACAACAGCAACAAAAACAAAAAAACACUCAGAUCACAAGGAUUUCUGGGAUCCCUGGGCCCUAGGGAAGGACUCGUGUUUGAAAGGCCCCGCAAGUCGUAGCCUUGCCACAGCCCCCUUGUACCUCCUCUUUGGCAAUCCGCAUGUUGUCUGUGACUUCUGAGAAGACAGUGGGUUUGAUGAAGAGCCCCUUGUCUUCCAUGGCUGAGCCCCCGCAUUCCAGCUUGGCCCCUUCCUUCUUCCCACUCUCGAUCAGCUCUAAGAUUUUGUCGAACUGCUUUUGAUCAAUCUGCAAGACACAAACAAGAAGUACAGCCUGGCUUCCUUCUGGGCAGUGGCUGCCAUCUCAUGUUUUCAGUGGCCUUCAACAUGAUCAGCCAUCCUCCCUCUGCAUGUUCUUGUCAAGCCAUGAUCCAUGUAACUAAUGAGCCUUGCAGGCAAAUAUUCCUCUGAUGCACAGAGCUGGGCUCUUUGGAGCAGGGGAGAGAUGGGGAGAUAGACUAGUCUCAUCCUCUGGAGGUUUGGGACAUAUUUACACUUCUAUCUCCCUUUUCCAUGCAGCAAAGUUAGUCCAUGAGUGACACAGGUCUGAAGUGGUCACAGUCUUUCUUCUCCCAACUCUUUACAUUCUACUCAGGUUGCCAAAUUUAGCAAAUAAAAAUACGGGAUGCCCAGUGAAUCUGAAUUUCAGAAAAAUGACACAUAAUUUUUUUUAGUAUGUCCCAAAACAAUAUUUGGGAUAUACUUAAGCUAAAAGUGCAUUUACUGUUUAUCUGAAAUUCAUGUUUACCUGGGUGCCAUGUAUCACCUGGCAACCCUGUGCCCUGCUCAGUUGGCACCGUGAAUCAGGGUAAUAGUUACUGGAAUUCUCCUGUCAUGGUGCAGAGAAGCGAGAAGAAAAGCUAACCACCUUACUCAACACCCCUGGGGACAAAGCAGAAUGAGCCUCCAGGUGGGGUGGCAGGGCUGCUCCUUGGUUGGUGGUGGGAACAGCUCAUGAGAAAGACUCUCCCUUUUGCUAUCUUGUCUAGACGUCUCCUUGGCUGGAGUUUGCCCUGUGCCACCAGCCUGACCCACAGCUUGUGAACACGCUACUGAGCAGUUGUCAAAAGCGCACCCUUUUGGGAGACUGCUCAAGAGGGAAAAUGCUCUUUCUGCCCCCUCCACUGGUCCUUCUUCCUGAAAUCUAUGGGAAUCUUGUCCUUUAUCAUGAUCUGUGGCUGGUCUCCCUCCUCUUUGGCUGGGAGAGACAAAGCUUUACUAGGUUUACUUUAGCUGGGAUUUUUAGAUGGGAAAACUGGUUUCAUUCCAAUGAUCAUAAACAGAAAAAGAAGCAAACCCAGUGGUGCAAUUGGAUGACGGUCUGUCCUGGAGGAGCAGGAGAGAGGGCAUAAACCGUGCAUGCCACUUGACCAAUCAUCUCAUGAAAUAUGGACCCAGUUUAAAAAUACUAACUCAGAUCCAUACCUCACACUUUAUACCAGGCCAAACUCCAAACCCAGUUUAAAAAUACUGACUCAGAUCCAUACCUCACACCUUAUACCAGGCCAAACUCCAAACCCAGUUUAAAAAUACUAACUCAGAUCCAUACCUCACACCUUAUACCAGGCCAAACUCCAAACCCAGUUUAAAAAUACUAACUCAGAUCCAUACCUCACACUUUAUACCAGGCCAAACUCCAAAUAGAUCAAAGAUAUAACCAGGAAAAACAAAACCAUAAAAGUUUUAUAUGUGGGAGACUUAUCCUGCAAACUUGGAGUGCCUUCUAAUGACUCAAAAUGCAGAAGCCAAAAAAGAAAAGAUGUAUAAUUUUGAGUAUGUAAAAAAAAUGGGGUGGGGGCAAAAUUAUCAUAACAAAGAGCAAAACAACAAACUUGGAAAAAAUAUUAACAAGUCAUAUUCAUAGAAAGCUAAUCUCUCUACUAUGUAUGUAAAGAGGUCUUAGAAGUGAUAAGAAAAAUGCCUAACAGCUUGCAAGAAAAAUACGCAAAGCACAUUUGAUAAUAAAGGAAAUACAAACGGUUUUUAAAUAUAUAAUAAGAUGUUCUACCUUGCUUAUUAUAAGCGGUAGAUGCAUAUUAAAAUGAAACAAGAUAGCAUUUUUAACUCUCCUAUGGGCAAAAAUCCAUAUUCUGUUGGAAAGGGUAAAGAAACAGACAAACUUCUAGAAUGUUAGUAGGAAUACACGUUGGUUCAGCCUCUAUGGAAGGUAAUUCAGCAACACUUAAGGAAAUUAGAAAUGUGUUCCCACUUAGCAACCCACUUUGGGAAAGCUGUCCCAGGGAUUUCCUUGUGUGUGUGUGAAAUCACAUACUCUGAGGCCUUGUGUGUGACUGCACAUACCUGCAUGCUAAUCAGAAGAUGUUACUGAAAUUCUGGUGGCUUCAUCCAGCAGAAUUCCAUACACAUGUGAAAAAGAAUCAGGCAGGUUCCCAUGGACUGGUAUAAAGAGCUCUUCCAGUUUUUUUAGGGAACAAUAAACAAAGUGCAAGAUGAUAUACUAUCAUGGAAACUUCCGUGUAAAAAUAACAAAGGCAAUCAGGACUUGCAUUCAUCUGCUUGCAUGCACACGAAAACAUUCUAGAGGGAAACAUGAGGAACUAAGAACUGGGGAUACCGUGGGGAGAAGGGUAAGAACCAGGUGUACAAAGGUGGGGGCGGGAGGGGCGGGAAUCCUUUCACUAUAGACGUUUUUAGGCGUUUUGGGGUUUGACCCGUGUAUGUGUACUCCACUCAAAAAAAGUAACAAAAACAGCUUUGCAACAGAUCCCGGAAGAGCUCAAGGUUCUCUCAACUUCUCUCUGGGUGAACCAAGUCUCAGGUUAACAGUUCCAGAUGCUGCUGAGCUGCUCUUCCCCUCCCUGAGGGGCCAAAAGGGACACAGGGGCUUCGCCCAACCGCAGGUCCUCCCUGGCUGCUGGGCAUAUGCCAUCUGGCAGACCCUGUUUGUCCUGCAGGCAGUGCUGGGUCCCCGUGGAAAACCUACACAUCCAAACUCCACACUCCCUGGAGAGCCCGUAGGAACACAUUGUUUAAAUCUAAUAAUCCUCCAUGAAAUGUCAGCUGGUGCCUUACAGUACAGGAAGAGAGACCUGCCAGGAAGUGAGAUGACGCAGCAGGGCACAACACCAGAAACAGGGAAAUACGGCCCCCACAGGACUGGCUCAAGGCUGUGCUCGGCUCUCUGCCCGGAGGACGCUGCCGGAUCCUGCCCGGCCAGGUGGCCUGCAUAAUGUUUAUGUGCCUCGUUGCUCAGUUGCCAAAUAAACCUGAAUGAUUUUGGAGCAUUCCUGUGAGCGCUAGCCCGGCCGUGGACCCGGAUCUAGGUCAGCUAGCUGUUUUACAGGCAUGAGACAGACAGGACUAUUUAGACAGCUGUAAGUCCUCUCAGAGUAAAAUCUUAUUACCGUAGAUGAAAAAGCACUUUGGAAGAAAAAGAAACCCCAACAGCAUUCUAAAAUAAUAUGCUGAGGUUAGACGGCUUUAGUGAGCUUUCAGAAGGACUUUGAGCGGUGGCAUAAAUGCACUGAUGAAAUCAGCACCCAUUCUGCCUCUAUCUGUUCUCUUGGAAGAAAUCGGUGUAUCUGGCCUCAAAAGUCAAGACUCAGACAUCAGGCAUAAGCCAAGAAAAGAGCCACAGAAAGAGACUUACAAAUAACGACGGGGUAAAAAAGUUUCUUCUGUAUGGGGAUCAGUUCACAUAUUUCCCACUGAUUGUGGAUUAGCUUUAAAACUCACGGCGGAUUCAAUAAUGACUUGUGGUCAUGUUUGCGUUCAGAUCUGAAAUCCAGCCGAGGCCAUUAGACAACCUUGUGUCACUGACCGCUGGGUUUGGGGCACAGGCUGGGCAGGCAAUGACUGAGGAGAAGGAAUGUUAGCCACAAGAAGUGCUUUCUGCCAGGGUCACGUGGCGUCGGAGUGUGUGGACUGGGGCCAGUGGAGGGUGGGCACUGAUGGCCAGAAAUGCAUCCUUCCUCCAUGAGGCCCUCCCUUCUUCCCCAGCCAGGGCAUCCCCACAGGACAGCCUGAUGUCAUGCACAGACACUCACUGCCACCUAGACUGGAGAACCUGUCAUUUAAAGCUUCCUCCUGUUUAAAAAUAAAACCUGCCCAUAAUUGAAUACUUCCUAGGUGCCAUGAAAUUCUCAUAAUAUUCAUUGAUUACUCCCACUCUCCAGAUGAGGAAACUGAGGCAUGGAAGGGUUUUUGUGACUUUCAUAAAACCCAGGGCCAAAUCUGAGCUCAGAUCCACAGCAGCCUCCCCUGUAAACAUGCAGUGCUGUCACAGUAGGGGAAGUGGCAGCCUCCCGGGAUAGACACAAGUGGGUAAGUCACGGACAUGUGACUUGAAAUUUCAUGGCUGGGGCAGGACUUUGGCUAAAAGCAAAGUGAGUGACUGCUGAGCUCCAUUUCAAUAAUGCAUGGGAUGGUCAGGCUGCCCUCUUUUAAAUAUUUAUCCAUCUGCUUCACUUCAUAAUUAGUAAGAAAGUGAUACAGGAUGUGCCGUUUUAAAGAGGAUAUUAAAUCUCGUGGUUAUGAUCAUUUUCAUCCUGUCCUUGGCUUCCCAAACUCAUCCUCCAGAGACAUGUUCCUACUGCCUGGAGAUACAUUCUCCUGCCCCAGGCUCUCUCCGUCUGGGAUUGUUUGAUUUCUGAUGGUUCACCUUGUCCUGUAACCCACGUGGGCUUGAGGGCCUCGGGCUGCGACUGAGACUCCAGGCCACACGCUGCCUGCACUCUGCUGCCUUCAGCCAGCCUACAGCCCCUUUUCUGUAGGGAGGUCAUCCUGGAGAGUGGAGGGUUCAGGCAGAUGGCCUUCUGCCCUGGGAAUAGCGCCCUCCUCCCAUGCCUCAGUGUGUCCUGCCCCCUUUCGUGAGCCCCCGGGACCUGACAGGAUUGUGUUUCUGAUCAGUUUCUAAAGAAAAGAAAGCCUCCUGGGCAGGACAGGUCAGCAUUCCUUUCACGGAGAGGGACCCUGUAGGCGGUUGCCAUGGGACUGCCUGCUUCAGCCCCUAGACAAGCACCAUGGUUUCACACACACCAGGGGGAUUACCUGAGGCCCCUGUUCUGUUUUGACAUCGAAGGGGUCUCCCACGGGCCGUUUCUUGGCAUACUCCACGCUCCGCCUGACAAACUCAGAGUAGACCUGCUCCUCCACGAACACCCUGGAGGCUGCCGUGCAACACUGGCCUUGGUUGAAGAACACUCCCUGAUGGGCACACUCCACUGCCAAGUCCACUGGAGGGGGAGGGGCGAGGGAGGCGGGCAGAGCGAGAGGAAGCGAUUAAGUUGUUAAAGCAGGACUGGUGACAGCUGCAAUUCUAAUUGCCCACACAAGAAAACAGGCCCCAGGAUGGCUGCAUUUCAGAAAUUAAUUUUGUUUGCAGACUUUCCCAAAUAGAGAGGAAGGGAGAAAGGAUUUUGGGGUCCACCAAGUUUGGGGUUAAAUCAAUUCCCUGACUGCAGGACUUCUCAGUACCUUUAAUAUGCUAAUAAGUCCAGAGAGUCAUAGCACCCUCCAUUUCACUUGCCUUUUUCUAGAGGACUCCCCUCCCCUCCCCUUUUUCUAGAGGACUAAUGUUUUAUAGAAUAAACUUCGGUAAUUAUUGAUGUAGGCCCCCUGGCGAGAACUUCUAAAGAAGCCAAAAUGUUCCACCUUGAGUAAAAGAAGGGUCUUAUUAAGUAAGAUAAUAUCAUGUGUGUGACUUAGAAGGGCUGACUAAGUUGCAGAGCUGACAUUGAACUAAAACCAGUUAUUCAAACCAAGCCAGAGGGUAUUUAGAGAAUAAGAUCUUGGGGGACACGCUUAGUGGAUAAGAAUGGUAUUGGGAUGUCAUUUACAUCUACAGAGGGGUUUCUAGUGUUCAACCGUUGGCUGGUUUCAUCACCACCAACCCCCGCACUAUUGCUUUCUUAAGAAAUGCAGCUUUCCUUUGCAUAGAGGCUGGCAGUGGCUCUGGGCAUUGGAAGGUGAUCCGUUCCAAUUCCACAGGGGCUGCUCCAAGGGACUGUGCCCUUGGCUUUGAGAAGGAGGCUGCUCCUAUCUAGCUGAGUCAUUUGUGGAAGUUUCAGUGGCAGCAGGACAGCACCAUAAGGUUUGGGGGUACCUCUCUGCACCCUUGACCCCUGCAGCUGGCUGGGCCAGGUCCCAACUUGGAACUGCCCCUCCUCCGAGAUAACAGACUCAUUUCCUGCUCCUGACGGAGCUAGGGGUGAGGCGAAGGGGCAGGGGAAUGGUGGCUUGUUACCCUUGAUGUCUUGCCUGGGAUGCUGGUUAUGUCAGGAUGUAAUUUGUGGACUGGCACCGCCCUGAUGAGGAGAAGGAGGUGGCUACACAGCAUGUUUUUAUGACCCUCGUAAGUAAAACCAAGCCCCAAACACAAUUAGUCCUGUGCUUUAGCUGCAGUUUUCCUCCCCAAGAGGAGGAAGAUGAACUUCAGUGCAGGUGGCGUAUCCAGAUACGGUGGCACAGGAAAGCAAAACAGGAGUCCUGGCUGUUUGGGACUCCAAAUGUGAGUCACAGUGCCAGAAAUGCUCCGUGUGGCUCCAAAAACCACUUGCUAUUCAUAGCACUAAUGGUGCUUCCACAAGGGAACACUGACCCAGGCAAGAAAUGGAAAGUCCAUCUUCACACCCAGCUCCCCUUUCCUUCCUGAGAGCCUGUAUCCUCCUCCUGUCCUUUCUCCCAUUGUGAAAGCCAGCUGCCAGAAAGGAACUGAUAUCAGUCAUUUACACCUUAGUAAGAAAUUGUGCCAGGGUCAUUUUUCUUGGGGAUAUUUGCAAUUCCAACCUUAUCUGAGUGUGAAGUGAAAGGCUUUGUUCUCCACGACAGGAAUUUCUGGCACCCGUGGACAGGUCUGGGAGGCUAUUCUUUAAGGCAAAGGUGUUUCAAGGCACUUGGGAAGUCACACCUUUUGAUAGCUGACCCUGUCAGCAGGUGAAUGAAUGCCCGGCCAGCCCUUCCUUCCCUCUUGUGGACAUGGCAGCCAACAAUAGCAUAUAUUUUAACGCUGUGUCGUUUGGCUGUCAAGACGCAAGCUAUCCCCAAACUGCUGGGCAGGUUGCUUUCCCAGGGCAGGGGUGCAGGCCUAGAACCAGGCAAAGCGGGUAAUUUGAAGGAUCAGUUGCUACUGCCCUCCUCUGAUUUAUCAGGUCUGAGACACAAGGAAAGAGCACCUCCACUCUUCAGGGAUCUUAAAACAUAUGAUAGGAAAUGUGACUUGGAGGGGAGAAUGAAUGACUGGGAGUGGGCAGCACCUGCCCUCCCCACUCCUCCCAGGGGGCUCUGGAGGAGAAGCCAGACCUGCUCCUCGUGACCCCAGCUCUGCAGGAACAGGCAGGUAAACUUAACGCUAAGGCGCAGAAACAGGCAGCCUCUCAGGUGCCACUCAAGCCAUAUCGUUUUGGCAGUAGAAGGCAGCUUUCUGCUAGAAGUAAAGCUGGCAUUUUGAUGUCCACCUGCCUGUCUGCGGCUGGCUGACUGUGGGCAGGAUGCCCACGGUGGAAGCGUCCCCACUGUGUGUGCACACAUCUUACUCUCAGUUGGUUUUGAAUUCAGGCCAGGAAGUAGGGGGAGACAGAUGGAUGCCCUGAAGCCCCAGCAAAGCCCAGGAGGGCAGAGACUCACAGUCAGCGUCCGCACACACGAUGCAGGGGUUCUUCCCCCCCAGCUCCAGCGUCACCCGCUUCAGAUUGCUCCGGGACGCAGCUUCUUUAACCAGUUUUCCAACCUCCAGGACAGAACACAGAUCACAAUUUACCUUGGAUGUUGCUGAACUUGGCCCAGGCGUAAACAUCAGUGAACAUUCUGAUCAAGCCCGGGUGGCAGUGCCACCACCUGGCUCUCGGCCCAGGCGCUCCAGGCCCCGAUGCCGUCCCUUCACUGUCCUGGCCUCUGCCAGCAUCUCCUCCCAUGCCAGACCAUGACAUCCUGGGAUCCUUGGUCUAAGCCGCUCCACUUACAGGUGUGAGUUAGAGCCUCUGGAAGCCCACACAGCUGGCUGGGAACAGGGCUGCCACCCGCUAACCUGUCCUGGUGCCUGUCCUUCUGAGCCCAGCAGGCUGGUCCAGCCAGUCUGGUAAAGGGCUUCAGGGACCGCAGGGUGACUCUUCUACCUCUCACUAGAAACAGCUGAAAUUCCAACAGCCCAGUAGGGGGGUGGUUCUGUGUGGCUCUUUGGUGUGAUCUGAGGGAACCUCCAAGUGUUAGAGAAGUAGCGAGGGCAGCCAGCCUUCCGGAUGAGAAGGAGCCGAUUCUCUGGAAACACACUCUAAGACUGAGGCUGCCGCAGACAGGCAGGGAGUGAAGGGGUGCGCUAUGAGCAGAAAAGCCACUCACCAGUCAUGCUCAAGGCCCCCACGGGGUCUCUCCCAUUGCCCACUGUACCCCUGGAGGGGAGGGCUGGCCCAGCAUGACUCGGUGACUUAUCUAGGGCAACAAGUAAAGCCCAGCACCACGAACUUCAGAGCUGGGAAGAUCCUCAGAGACCAGUGCAGACACGGAGGCCUAGAGCCAGAAGCUAGCAAGGCGCGGCCCAGGCUCUUCCGGGUCUGAGACUGUUUUCUCCAAUGCUAAGGUGUGAGCGCAUUUUAAACAUCAGCAAGCUCAUGGGUGAUGGCUGAAUGAGGUCUGGAAUCCAUCCACAGGGCAGUGUCUGUCUCCAAGGAGAGUAACAGCAUCCACCAGGGCUUGGACUAACUAAGGAGGGGGAUGGGGACACUGAUUGCAGCGGGUGUUUUUUUCUUUUUUAAGUACAGAAGAAAUACUUUCUCAUUAAAAGUAAUUCCACAUAGAGAUGUAUGUGAAUUACAGGGAGAAAGCCUUCAGCUUCCCUCCGGCUCUGCCCCGAGCCCACCCCAUAGGUGGCCAUCAGUAAGGAUUUCUUGGGAAUCCUUCCAGAUAAUUUCUACUUCUACAAGCACACACCUCUACGAAUGGGAAAAUAUUGUGGGUAAUUUUCUACCGUUUGCUGUUUUGUGCUUCAACAAUAGAUCAUGGACAGCUUUCCUUGUUGUAACGGCUGUAAAACAUUCCAGAGAAUGAAUAUAAUAUCCUUGAAAAUAUGUCCCUGAAGCCUCAUGAGAAAAUUUCUCUAAGUAGUUUUUUCUUUUUUUGAAAUGGAGCUUCUGAAUCGAAAAGUUUUUCACUUUAAAUGUUGGAUGAGUGCUACCAAAACACUGUGCAUCUUAGGGCAAGUGUCGCUGAGCACCUGCUUCCCCAUAUUCUCAGCAGUAUCAUUUCAGUUCUUAGCAAUCUGGCAGGCAAAAGGAAAGUCUGAUUUUGUUUGAAUUUGCAUUUUCCUGAUUACCAGCAAACUAGUUUAAGCUUAAUGGGCACGUCGUAUUUCUAUUCUCUGAACUGCCCAUUUUUCUACCAUUCAGUUUGGUUUUUUUUUUUCAUUGACUUGUAGGAGCACUUUGCAUAUGACGGAUAUAAAUUCUUGGAGCACUGCAUGCAUCACGACUAUUUUUCUCUGAGCUUGUUAUUUAUCUCUUAAUCUUAAUUAUGGUGUUUGACAGAUGAAUAUUUUACAUUUCUACUUUAUCUUAUCUCUCAAUCUUUUCUUCUAAGGCUUCUGAGUUCUAUUAGAUAUUUAUUUAGUUUGGAAACUAGACCAGUGACUUUUUUUAACUGGUUGUUAUGUACUAAAACAUGGUCAAAUUUAGAAGAAAAACAAAUCAUAUUAAAGCCUGUCAAAGGAAAAGCUCACGGGUGUCAAAUAACACGCCCCUUUCACUUUCCCCAGCACCCUGUGAGGAGGGUUACCUCUGUGGAGCCGGUGAAGGCGAUCUUGUUGAUCUGAGGGUGAGAAGAAAUUGCUGCUCCCACUGUGGGCCCGAAUCCUGGCACAAUGUUCACCACUCCUGGAGGGAACCCGGCCUGGGAAGAAAUCAAGAUAGCACUUGAAGAAGAACGGACUUCAUCCACCACGGAUCCACAUUUGGGCCGAGAGAGCCGUGGCUGCCUCACAUCCCCACAGGGAACCCGGGCCGGGCUGGAUUUACCCAGGACCCAGAAGCAGUUGACCGUGGGCACCCUGGGAGCUGACCUGGGCUUCUCAUCCCCUGCUGCCAGCCCAGUGUGCAGGCUGGGCAAGGGGAGAUGCCCACUUCUCCUUCUGGGGGGGGACCCCAUCCCAAAGUGAUAUGCAGUGCAAAUGUGUGGUUAUGCUUCAAGGUGGCCAUGGCCCGCCUGUAGCACAGCACCUUUCCAUGUGGGGUGUGUGUGUGUGUGAGGGAGAGUGUGUGUAUGCGUUAAGGGGAGAGGGGUACCUUGAUCAGAAUGCCCUGCCCAGGAUCAGAGGCACCUGCAAAAUAUCUGCCAAGAGCUUCAGUUUUGUUUUUUCUUCUUUUUUUUUUUUUUGAGAUGGAGUCUUGCUCUGUCGCCCUGGCUAGAGUGUAGUGGCGCGAUCUUGGCUCACUGUAAGCUCCGCCUCCCAGGUUCACGCCAUUCUCCUGUCUCAGCCUCCUGAGUAGCUGGGACUACAGGUGCCCGCCACCACGCCUGGCUAAUUUUUUUUUUUUUAAGUAGAGAUGGGGUUUCACUGUGUUAGCCAGGAUGGUCUCGAUCUCCUGACCUCGUGAUCCACCCACCUCGGCUUCCCAAAGUCCUGGGAUUACAGGCGUGAGCCCAGUUUUCAUUUUUUAAUCAGACCCGUUAUUAUUCCAAAUGGUGACAGGGUAUCACUCCCUUAAAGUUCUUUGCUUGUUCAACCUGGGUCUCACCUGGAGCAAGCCCUUCUGGAAGGCAGGGACUGCCACCUCGUUCACGUUCAUGCCUCGUGUUUUUCAUAUACUAAGCCUCUUUAUCAGGCGAGAACACAAAACAAACGAGGUGGAGGAUGCUCUUCCCCACCUGUGCUGAGUCUUACUUAGAACACAUUAUUUCAGAAAAUCAAGAUUUUAGGCACGCUGCUUGAGUCUUUAGAUUUUUAGGCACUGUUUCUUAACAGUUGGGAUUUUCACAUUCCUAAGUCUCACCAGUGUGACUUAAUUAUGCCCCACAUCACCAAAGGAAAGUGGAAAAUUGGCUCAUCACCAGCUGUUCCCACCUUGCUUCUAAGCAACUGUGGACCUGCCUGCCGGUCAUAUCAGCCCGACUAAGAAGAGAAAGGAAUGGAUCUUUUCUUCUGUCCCUCUUUGCUUCCUGUUGCUUUCUCUAAAUCUUUGCUCCAUACAACCUGGGGAUGGAAUGACUAAAGGUAUGUCUGGAAGGAGGUGUCCCAUUGAGCCUCUGUUUCCCUAAGUUCUGGCUGCCUGAGGGAGAAGAGAUUGCAUUCAGAGCAGAGGGCACUGAUUAGCAGGGACCCGGCACACGGACUGCUGCAGCCGCCCAGCUAGAGCUGACGAGGCCACCUCUCCAGAGAAAAAUGGACCAUUUCAUAAACUGAGAAUGCAAAUCCCAGAGAACCUCCCAAAUAUUUGGCUCCCUCUUGGUUGACCCCCCCUGAAAAUUCUCUAGACAAACCACUGGGUCCUCAACCAUAGGUUUGAGCCCAUAAUAAGAGUUAAGCAUUCUCAUUAGGACCACUGGGAGGAAUGGAGUUUCUCCAGCUCAGUGGCCACAAGCAGGAGAAAGAACGUGCAGUCGCCAAACAAAACACUGGAAGUCAUUCCCUUCCCACUCGAUUGCCAGCAGUCUGCCACUGUCCCAUCUCGUGACGGUGGCCUGGUUCCUAGGAGUGGGAAUGUUACCAAGAACAUGUGAUAUUUUCUUUUUGGAUGUCUCACCUCUUUGAUCAGAGAGCCGAGAUAAAGGGCGGUGAGAGGUGUCUGCUCCGCAGGCUUCAGGACCAUGGUGUUCCCACAGCAGAGGGCGGGUGCCAGCUUCCACACCAGCAUCAGCAGGGGGAAGUUCCACUGCGACAGAGCACAGGGGCUUUGGAGGCCCAGAUCCACCCUCUUACCCUGUCCCAUGUGCUCAACGAUGCCUUUGUGGAGGACACUUGCUUUUCAUGGUCUGGAUUUGGGGUAUGUGGGGUAACAUAGGAGUGUGCAAUGAUCAGAACUGCAAUCCUGCACAGCACUUCCUAAACUGCAUUCUGGGUGGUACUAAUAGGCAGCCUUUGCAAAGAGGAUGCUGUUGCAUGUGUUCUACCUCUCCCUCUAAAACAUCUGCUGAAGACGUGUCCUCCUCCCUGCCUCCAUGGGCACUUUUUGAACCCUCACUUCAUGUUGCCACCUGGCUCUUCAGCUUCCUGCCUGGCUGUUGUUGCAAUGGCCAGAGGCUUCCCAAACAGACAGGCAGCAUUGUUGCACUUCUUGGGCACCUAUAAGCAUCCCCACCGCCCAAUGAAUAAAGUCCCGGCCCCUUAGCAGCCAAAGCUGCUGGAAGCUGGCCCACACCACCUGCCACGUGUGCUCACCCUUUUCCUCACUUUUGCUCCUGCCUGAGCUCUAGCCCCACCAGCUUUCCUGCUGUUCCCUUCCAAGUAGCCCAGCCACCUCUGCACUUUUGCCUAGGCCAUUCCCACUCCUUGGAAAAUCCUUUUCCUUGUUGAACAAGUCUUUCUUAUCUUUAAGGCCCAGCUAAGAGACCACCUUCCUGGGAAUGCUGGCCAUUCCUGACCACUCUGGCUGGGAACCACAGUGCUUUCUGUGGCAUGCCUAAAGCCGGUCUUAGGAGAGCAGAAAUGGGGUCUAAUCCAUCUCAAGAGCCCCCAAGCAUGGAGUUCCAUGCCACGAAGAAAAUGCUUGUUCAACGCUGGUGCAAUCAGAUAAAAACACACCAGAAAUUGAUUCCAAAGGACACAGGGCAGUGGGGCAGGAUCUACAUAGAAUCUACUGAGAAAGGCUGCCAUACUUACUGGAGUGAUGGCCCCACAGACACCAAUGGGCUCAUGCCUGGUGAAGCACACGACGUUGUCAUCUGGAAGAGGGUUACAUGGUGGGGAAGGACACACUCACUUAGUCCAGGUUAGGAACUUCAAGUAGUAAAAAGACAAGAAAGAAACCAACAAGGGUGCCAGAUUCAAGUCUUGUCUAUUAUACAGAGAAGUGAUUUGACCUCAACUUUAAAAGUGAAGUUCUUAGAAGAAGAAUUGGCAGUACCAUUUGGAGAGGGAGUGGGGUUGGGAAUGGUGCCUUAGGGAAACAGUCAGGGGGGGCUCUGGAUUAAUGAAAAGAUAUAGCCCCAAAGGGAUCCCAAAUGAAGCUAUAAUCCACCUUGCUCACCUGUGGGGAUGGUCUUGCCCUGGAUUUUGUCUGCCCACCCUGCAAAGUAUCUGAGGGUUCUAAUACAGCCCUCCAGGUCGAUGAAAAAAGCAUGAAGAAAUGGCUUCCCUGUAUCCAUCGUCUCCAGGGCCUGCAAUAACAAGAUGAUGUCUGUUUCGGACAUAGCUUGCUUUUCUUUUGCACUGUCAGGUUGUUAAAGAUGGAAGUUGGGGAGAGAACACAGUCCUAGGACAUUGCUCUGUAGACCUCACAGUCAGAUGCACCUCUUCAGAAAGCAUGACACCAAAUGUAAAGCGAGGCCUGUCUCUGAGUGUGAGGAUUGCUUUUAUUUCAAAACACCUAAAGUGGGCUGCAGGGUGGUGGGCUAAAACAUAGACAUGCACCCUCUUUGAAGGGCCCCUUGGAGGCCAGGCGGAUUUAAAGCUGUGCUGGGAAGGAACGCACACUGGCAUCUGAUCUUCCAUCUGUAGCACAGUGGCCUCUGCUGUGUGGCCAGUCGUGUGUGCUUGUGUGUUCCCAGGAAGCUCUCUGAAGGUUAGCUGGCUCUGGGGUGGCUGCAGUGGGAGCUGCCCUCCUCGAACAAAAGAGAAAGAGAAGAUGUAGGCUCUUCCUUCUCGGCCAGGCUGGCCAGUGUGGCUGUGGAAAGUGACUGAGCCGAGAAGGGUCGCGCCCCCAGCACAAAGAUGCAAUCCUUCCCUCCUGCACUGCAGAGCCCGGCCGGCCGGAUGCAGAGUCGGAAGGGAGCAGACUGCCCUGCUGGUGAGGGAGGUGAUUACCCAGGGCGAGUGUGCAGCCACUCAAUGGCAGGGAUUCUUUUCUAUUUCCAGCCGGGGUGGAAGAGAACCCCUUUGUCCCUCAGACAAGUGGCCCCAGUUGAGCCCAGCGCUGAAACCGCCAGUCAUCCGCCUCUGCAGGAAGUGGCCGCCCUGACACAUAGCCCAGGGCUGGAUUCUUGUGGAAGAGUCAGUGGAGUGAGAUGGUGAUUGAAAAAGGAAGAAGGCCCCUCCUCAGAUCCAGGGCUUUAACCCCAGCGCACUCCCCGAUGUCUCACCCUUUGAGCUCCAUGACUGCAUUCCCACUUCAAGGUGCAGGCACGGACGCUAACGGCCCAGUGACUUGGCCAAGGCCACCCAGUAAUGCAGCAGCUGAAUUGGGGGCAUCUACUUCUGGCCAGCACAGCGACUGGCCUUUACAGGCUGCUCCUGGACAGGUGUGUCUGGAAAGACUGCAGGGCAGCCACUCCGGAUGCUCGGGCUACCCCAGCUCCCCUUUGCUUCAGGAAUGAGCCAAGCCCCCUUUAAAUAGGAGGCAACUACAUCUGCUGAACCCUAGUUAAGUAAGUGGGCCUUGGGUAAGUCCCUGAAUCACUCCUUGCCUCAGUUUCCUCAUCUGUAAAAUAAGAAUAAUAACGGUUCCUACCUCACAGGGCCAGCGUUAGAGUGAAAGGAGUCAGUGUCCACAGAGCAGCAACCACAGUGCCCGCCCAUGGUGAGUGCUGGAUUGGUGUUCACAUGAGAACACUGAUGAUUACACUGACUAUCAUCAACUUCCCUUUAGGCACCAGAGAAGGGCUUGGCGAUCCUCACCUGGGGACCCAGACAGCGCACUGGGUUGCUAAAGACCACAGGACUGGUCUAGCUUGGGGUGUGUGUUCUGCCCCCAGCAGCUGCCACUCAGGGACUGAGUCAGGCCAGUGUGACAUCAAGUAUACUCUAGUGUUGGUUCCUAUAGAUUUUCACUCAAGCGUGAACUUUCAUUUUUCCAGGGGAAGCCUAGCAAUUGCAAAUAGUGCAAAAAGGCCUCUAAGACUGACCUAUUCCAGACAGUAUCUGCAUAUCUGUCAGUGGAAUUGCAAGUUUAUUCUUUGCUCUUUUCUGGGAUGGAACAAGAGAGAGGACUUCAACAUCCAGCACUGAGGGUAAGCGCGAGACAUGGAGCCAAGAUUCUGCCUCCAGUCCUGGAUUACCACCUCUGGCUGGGUGACCUAGGACAGGUUACUUAACCUCUCUGGGCCUCAGUUUCUCAUCUCUGAAAUGAGAUAAUAAAUCCUACAGGUCAACAAGCCAGGUACAUGGCGAACAUUCAGCCAGCAUUGCUAUUUGUUUUUAUUGUCAACUUCAGCAAGUUUGCUUACUGGAGUGACAACAUGAAUUUACCAGGUUAGUUUUAUGGAAUUUCUCUGAGCAAAACCCAGGUCAUGAUAGGUUUAGACGGGAAAUUAUUAAAAAAAAUUAUGCAGGUGAGUGAGUCCAAGUGCUCGCUACAGAUUGAAACAGUCAUCCUUUAAACAACUUGUUACUGUGGCUCAAUCAUGAGUAAACCAUAGCCACUCCUAAGUUUAUUUCCUUUAACAUUUUAAGAGGAAAAUGUGCCUCCUGAGAAAUUAACACAUCAGAACCCUCAGAUACUAAAGAAUGACGGGAAGUGCCAGGAAAACAGCACGGCAGGGCUUACAACGAGAGGACCCAGAAAUGGCACUUGGGGUGAAAAGGAGAGUGGAUAGGGAGGGCUUCCGUUUGGGAGCUCCCAAAAUGAGCGCCCAAAGAGCAGAGUUGGGGCCUGGGUGCCCCAGCAAAGGAAAGCCAUCCAGGGGCCGCUGGAUCCCCCACAUCUGUUUCCAGACACUGAGCACAGAAAUAAACACCCAGCUCUGUCAAACCACUGAGCCGGCAAGAGAACACGCUCCAUGAACAUGCACGGAAACCAUAUCGAGGUGGAGAGCAAGGGGCGCUCUCCUGUGAUGUGGUUGGAGUUUUAAAAACCGUGUUUGCCAGUAAUUCUCUUGUCCCUUUCAUGUUGUGGCAAAGAGCUGGAUCUUAUUUCUCGUGGGCUGCGAGGUGCCAGUGGCAGAAGUGAUUUGCUGGGUUUGCAUUCUGAGAUCCUCCAAAGCUGUCUGCUAUCAAAACACAGUCGUGCCAGGACAAUGGGGCAGCCUGAAGAUGAAGGUGGCUUUGUAGCCUCUGCUCCUAAGAUGAUACUGACACUUAAGGACAGGGUUCAGGGCGGGGGGUGCCCAGGGCACAUCCUCUCUAGCCUGCUAUUAGUCCACACGGACAUUGCCGACCGAUGAGCUCAUGCCGGGUGAAAACAGAAAUGUUUUUGAAAAAGCCAGUUUGGCAGCUUGAGGGUUGACGCUGGCUUACGUUGCAGGAAGAAACCAGAGGCUCCUCAGAGAGAAGCGCUUACCCUGGGAGGGAGCUACUCUCACCCGGGGAACAUGUGGACUGGCCGGGCUGACUGGGAAGGAAGGAAGGGGAGCUCGAGUUUCUGUGUGGAUGCACCCUUAGGGAAAUGCACCCAAGAGUACGGCCUGAGAGUUCCUCCACCCUGAGAAACACAUUCAGGGGCAACAGCAAUUUCCGUGUCCUGGCUGACACCCUCCUUUAAACAGUGGCUACCCUACUGCUUGUUCCCGACAUCAGAAAAACCAUUUUUCCAAAUCAAAGGCCAGAAAGGAGAUCUCCUCCCCUACAACCGGGCCUCAAGGUUUGGAACAACUUUUAAAAACAAGAGGCUGAGAUGGGCAAGGACAGGAUGCAAAGGACCUCAUGGCCCAACGUGGCCCUGAGAUGUCCUCUGAUCACUCCCUCAUGACCAGAGGAGGGUCUGAGGAUCCUGCUAAAAAAUGGACUUACAACUGAUGAAUGCCUUGGCAGCUCAGCCUCAUGGGGUAUGCUCCAUCAAUAUCCCCACCUAGGGUAUCUAGAAAUUACUGGCCAGCAGUGCAUGUAGGUGAGGUUAGAAAAUGGGUCUUCACAUGACCUCAUUAUGAUAACUGCUAUUAUUAAUGAUAGCUGUCAUCUAUUUAGUGCUUACUGCCUGCCAGGGACUCUGCCUAGAAUCUUAAAUAGAUCAUUCUUACACCACUGAGUUAUCAUUAUCGGUGACAUUUUACAUGAAGAAAUAAAUCUCAGAGAGGUUUCACAACUUGUCCAAAGUCACACAGCUAGUAAGUGGCAGAGUGGGGAUUUGAACCCAGGUCUUUCCUAUUCUGAGGUUUCCUAUAACCAGGCUAUCCUGCCCUCACCACCGCUCCACAUAUGCUCGCUACUAGCCAGUUCAGGGGUGACUGAGGAAUGAUUUUAGGUCACAUGGGAACAAUUUUUUCUAUGUUAAGUGGUGGCAUUUAUUUUGGUAAGUAUUAGAAAAAUAAAAUUAGCACAUCAAACCUGUGAUUUCAUGAAUAUUGUUUCUUAGGAUGAGAUUAAACUUAAGUUUAAAAGGGAGUUAAGGCUGGGUGCAGUGGCUCACAUCUGUAAUCCCAGCACUUUGGGAGGCCAAGGCCGGUAGAUCACCUGAGGCCAGGAGUUCGAGACCAGGAGUUCAAGACCUGGCCAACAUGAUGAAACCCUGUCUCUGUUACAAAUAUAAAAAUUAGCCGGGCAUGGUGGCAGGCACCUGUAGUCCCAGCUACUCAGGAGGCUGAGGCAAGAGAAUCAUUUUAACCUGGGAGGCAGAGGCUGCAGUGAGCCGAGAUCGCGCCACUGCACUCCAGCCUGGGUGACAGAGGGAGACUCUGUCUCAAAAAAAUAAAUAAAAUAAAAUAAAUAAAAGGAAGUUUAUACAAAAAAGAAAAAAGUUAAGUACAUAAACACACAGGUGGUACCAGGAUAUGGCCCAGCUCAUGGUCACCAAUCUGUGAGUGCCCCAAGUCUGAGACCACUGAUGUAGCUCAACUGCCUAUAGACAACAACUUGGUCAAGAAGCUGAGCUGCAGAGGACAAAAGUCUGACUUCAAAAUGAAAGGGAUUCAGUCUAGAGGCAUUAACACCUGCAAGUAUUGCCAGAGAGCCGUGUCUCAGAGGAUGGAACAGACCCACGACCACACAAAACCAGGACCGUGAUCUUUUUUCCCAUACCCCAUGGUGGACAGGACCCUCAGUGAGGCUGGCUCAUCCCCCACCGGCCCCCAAGUGCAUGUACUCACGGCCAAGGUGGCGCGGUCCCUCUCCACCAGGUCAGCCAGCUGGUGCAGCAGCCGCCCACGACUCAGGGCAUCCAGCCGGCGCCAUGGCGAGCCCCUCUGGAAGGCAACCUGUGCAGCCUCCACAGCCUUGUCCACGUCGGGCUGAGCGACCAGAACAACAGAGAGAGACUGUCAUCUUUUGACGUGACUGCAGUUUGGGUGUCAUCUUUUGACGUGACUGAAGUUUGGGUGUCAUCUUUUGAGGUGACUGCAGUUUGGGUGUCAUCUUUUGACGUGACUGCAGUUUGGGUGUCAUCUUUUGAAGUGACUGCAGUUUCGGUGUCAUCUUUUGAGGUGACUGCAGUUUGGGUGUCAUCUUUUGAGGUGACUGCAGUUUGGGUGUCAUCUUUUGACGUGACUGCAGUUUGGGUGUCAUCUUUUGAGGUGACUGCAGUUUGGGUGUCAUCUUUUGACGUGACUGCAGUUUGGGACCACGGCCAUCAGUUAUAGAGAACAGCAGAUUGUCCCGCUGGCAGACAGGCUGCAAGCAGCAGCAUGUUUUUCAAUCACUUGAAUGGCUGGGAGCGUUCAAGUGAUUUUUUUUCUUCUUUACAUCUUAAUAUUUCUACAGUGGCCAAAUACCAAUGUUUGUUUCUGAUUAUAAAAAGCAUUUAAAAAUAUUUCCUAAAGAGUAUUUUUCUCAGGGACCCAAGUACGGAAGGACUUUCCACUGGCUGCCUCAGUGUGAACGCACACGAGCCUGCUGUUCACAGAUCAGGUGGGAAGUGUCUGCCUGGCAUUUGAUCCCAGCUGGGAACUUGUGGUCCAAGAGUGAGAAUGGGGAAAUUCCUUCCUUUCUGGAUUGCAGAACUGACCAUCGUGGAACAGUUCGCAGACAGGGAGGAGCAUGAAGGCCGUUUUUCUCCCUUCAGCCUCACCCACCCCAUGGGAGCAGAACUGGAUCUUUUGUGCACUGAUAGAAUAAUCACAACGGAACCUUCUUUCUAAAAGGAAAGAAGUGAGGGCCAUUUAGAGUAGUGUCACUGUCUCUUUUUCUCAGGAAAAUGGGCCACAUUCAUCUCGAAGGCCCCUCCAUGCCUCUCUCUUUCUAGGAAGGUACAGCAGGGAGUGGAUGUGGGACACCAGUCAGGAGUGACUCUACCGAGUCUCUGUGUGUCCAGAGCUGGCUUGGGGGUGAGCAGAAGCUUGGCAGGGGAGAUGUGGGACACUGAAUUUCUUCUCCCAGGCUCUGGGGUGGAGGCCAGGACCUUUCCAGCUGCAGAGGGUGUGGUGGCCUCUGGCUCAGAACAGUCACUCAGACCAAGGGAGAAAUCAAGGCCCAGGGCAAGGGUCUCGUUCUCCUCCUAGCACCUGUACGGGGCACUUGGGAGUCUCCUAGUGGAAACCCCAUUCCAUGUCAUGGCUUCCCCCCAAUGCCCUCACAUUUUUCUAUGAGCUCCUCUGUGCCACUUUCUUUGUUAGCAGAGCCUAACUGUCAUGAGGUGCCACACAGAGGGGGGUCUGUAUAGGUGGGGCCAGUGUGCAUUUGCACGUCUGUCACAAAAACUCAUGGGCAAGAUAAAAUCCAAGCCUACUCUGCACACGCCCUUCACUGCAUCCACUUCCAACGUCAUCAGUUUGCUGACCAAGAACAUCAGUCCAGCACUCCAGCAGCUAAGGAAACAUUUACAUCUCCCUGCCCUCAGUGGAAGGGCUUUACCUCUGCACUGACAUUCAGAAUAGAUUUGAUGGCCUUGCAAUGUAUAAAGGACACAUUCGGAAGUCCCUUAGCUUCUGUAUUACUAUAUAGACCUUGCACUUGCAAAUAGAGUGAUAAAGGUUACCGCUUUCCAUGCUCAUGUAAAUUUCUAGGAGAAAAGAAAUCUGGUGGUUACAUUGUUAACUAUCCCCGCAUCACCCGGGUAGCAACUAUUUUUUUUCCUUCAAAGUGUCUAUUUUUUUCUAAAGUGUCUUCUGCCAGAAAGCUUCAUUUCGUGAAACACACCAGCGGGAAAUGCUUUCUGGAAAGAUUCUUUAAUGCCUCCAGGUCCAAAUAAUUGAUAAAAAAAAAAAAAAAAGAAAAAAGAAAACCUUUCCUUUAGCCAUAUGAUGAGGAUAGCUGAGGUCAUCCUCAUAGUAGGAGAAACAUCUAUCAAGGGAGAAUGAUUCUCUGCAGAGGAUCAUCGGUAAUUGAUGCCAUUCUGUGCCACACGUCUGAGAACCACAUGCCAAUUCACGCAGCUAGCCCAGGCCCUGCCCCCAGGAUAGGCCAGUUCUGUCUUAUAGCUAAGCCGAACCGUUUCCUUAUCCUUUGGUCAUCCAUAAUUGAAUUACUUAGAGCAAAUUUAUUUUAAGUAUUUACCUUAUCUCCUUCUUCCACUUCACAUAUUUGCUCCCGAGUUGAAGGGUUACAUGUAGCAAACUUUUUCCCACUCUUGGAUUCGUGCCAUUCAUUGUUGAUAAAUAUCUAACCAGGAAAGGAAGUGUAACCAAUUAGGUUUAGAUCAAAAUCAUAUAAUUUCAACAUGCUAAGGACCUUAGGUGACGUCUUAUCCAUCUUGUCCACCUUCCUCUCUGCUGCUUCCCUCUCCCCUUCGACAUCUUAUAGAUGAGACCCGGAGGGGAACAGAGUCCCAGGACUGCAUGACCAACAGAUCAACUAGGACAGACUCGAAAUUCAAGUUUUGGUCAAAUAAAACUAUAGUCACUUAGAGAUUUUUUUCUAAAUUAUUAUUAUUAUCUUCAGCAAUAACAUGGAUUCACAGAGGAAUGGCUAAGUUAAAUGGUUAAAUAGAGGCUGUGAAUGGAAUCUCAUACCCCAAUAGACUUUGGGGGAAGAGUCAAUAGGUUUAUAUACAUAAAAGUCCCAAGCAGUCCGCCUGCCCCUGAAGGGUAAGGACGCACCGAGCACUCCCUUUCUCCUUUCAGUGGCAACACUCAGCAAGAUUGAUUGCCAAGGAGCUCACUUUGAGGAGGAUCUCACCAUCGCCCUUCAGUUUUCACCAAUGCACAUCAGCAUGUCCCUCCCCAGCACAUUCCCCUUAAAAUGUGUAUUUUCAUAGCAAACCACCAUGGCGCAUGUUUACCUAUGUCACAGACCUGCACAUCCUGCACAUGUACCCUAGAACUUAAAAUAAAAGUUGAUAAAAUGUCAAAAAAAAAAAAAAACCCAGAAAAACCUCCGAAGCUUGAUAAUAAACCAGCGUUGAAGUACAAAGUUAAAUGUCUGGGUUAGAAACUUUCCAGGUUACAUUAAGAGAUGUCGCAAAUAACUGUUUAUAUAACCCGCAGAAAUCACUUUUCUGGGAACCUCAAUGAUCCAGAAUGCAGAUGAGAAUGAAAGUUUUUUUGACAAAAGACAUCAUGAGCAGACUAAGAAGAACAUACGAAGUCCAUGCACUGAAACAUAUGUACUAUUUACUGUUAGUUUACACUAAGUUCUAAUUGUCUUAUUAAUGUCAUAUUAAAAGAGAGGGCUUUUGGAAAAAACUAGGAAGAGACAUGACAGACAAUAUACAAAACACAUUCCGACAGCACGGAGGUCCCCGGCUGCCCAGCCAGAAGACACACAAACUCCUGCUACACCAACUUGGAAUGGCUUCCUCAUCACAGCCUAUCACAGCAUCAGAAGAACCCCCGUGGCAGAAAUGGCUGACACGCAUGUCUCUCAAGUAAAAUGCCGUCAGUAAUUUCUGAGUACAGAAUUAGUUCAUCAGGUUCCGUUUUUACAUCUAUCUGCAUGUGGUAUACAUAGCUUUACUUUGCUUCUUUUUGAAUUGUUUAAAGGAAGAAUUGCGUCCCUCAAGGGCUAAUUUCAAUUAUUGUGAAAUUGAUUCAUUUGAAACAUUUGACUCCCCAGUGAUGACAGAUGAGAGAGGGCAGCCAUCUCCUAAGCAUGAGUCUUGGUUACAUUCUCUGUAUUGGGCUUCCUGUAUAAACUCCACAGCUCCGGCUUAAUACCUGGGUGAUGGGUUGAUCCAUGCAGCAAACCACCAUGGCACAUGUUUACCUAUGUAACAAACCUGCACAUCCUGCACAUGUACCCCAGAACUUAAAAGUUGAUAGAAUGUUAAAAAAAAAAAAAACCCACAAAAACCUCUGAAGCUCAUAGUGAGGAAGCCUGGUCUGAGUCGGUUGGGGACCAAGCACAGGAGGCAGACUCUGGCUGGGCAGGUGAGCAGAGACCAGCUGCCCCCCAGUUUGGAAUCCAGAACUGAGAGCAUCGGUCACCAUUGGGAUUUGCCUGUCUGGCUUCUGGAAGCUUAGCGUCUCCAAUGUGAGGCCAGGCCCCCAGGGAAGCGCACCAGGAAAAGGCCAGGCUACAAUUACAGGUUUAUUCUUCCAGCUGAAACUAAAUCCAAGAGUUCACUUUUGCCAUCCAGCAAGUCAUCACUUGGUAACAGCGAGAAAUUAAUAACUGAGGAAGAAGAGUUAAGUUAGUGCGGGGAGGAAAGUGCAGCCAGGAAGAGGGGCCCAUUUGUAGAAAGAUGAAAUUUCGUGGGUUAGAUAAUAGAGACUGUCAGUGAAAAUUGCUGAUUCUAGGUCCUUCCUGGUAUCAACUCCAAGGGGGAGGGAAAAUGAGAAGGUGGCAGAAGAGAAUAUAAAUAAGGGGGCUGAAAACAGAUUACAAUGAUCGGAUGUCUGCUAUACUGCUAUACUUCAUCUCCAAGCAUGCUCCUCCAAAAAAAAUUACUGUUUGUUCAUGACAUUGAUCUGUAACCAGCAACCUUAAAAAAAAAUCAGACUGUUUGACUCUAACCAUAUUUUCCCAUCACUAUGUUUUUAAUUUUGUAAAAUCUUUUACUUUAUACCACACUACAGUAGUAAGUAAUCUUGUAAGUGGUUUCUACUGUUGAUUUUUCUCUCCAUUAAAACAAAACAAAAGCACAAAUAUAAGGAAAGGGUAUAUAAAUAUGGUCUACUGAUUAUGCUGGCUGUAUUGUUUUGAACUCCAAAUCAGGGUAAAGGGUCUAGAAGGAAUUGUUGUCUUUGAUUUGUGGAUUAGCAUACAACAAACCUUAUAGAGGUAUAGCAUUAAGCUACAUUGAGCUGUAGACCUGGUUCACAUUUUACAAAAGGAACAGAAUGACAUGGAAGCAGGACGGAGCUGUAAGGUGUCUCAGGCAGAGGUGAAGAUGACAGUCAUACAAGUGAAUCCUAUUGAUGCCGAUUUCCCGUAACUUCCAUCUGACAACAGGCCACUCAGCUAAACUCAAAAAGAAUAUGUUUUCAGAAAAGGAGAUUUGGGGGAAUUUUAUUUUUCAUAAGAGAGAUAAUAAAAACCGGUGUUUUAAAAAUCAGAAAACUUUGAAGAGAAUCCCUGCUACUGGAAGAAAUUUUAUAAGGAAAGAAAGAGGCCCUCUAAAUUAGAAGGGACUUCUAUCCUCUGAGAUCUGUGUGGGGACCCUGGAGGGGCUCUCAGCUCUCCAGAAUCACACAGCAUGACCCUAGAGAAUGAAAUGUUAACAUGUGAGGACAAAUGAAGGGGCUUUGACAAAGUCAUCCUGAAAGUUGGACCACCCUGGGAAAUGGCACUGCCGGGGCUAGGGCUCAGAUGGACCAACUCUGGUGUGUGCCCCAUUAUCGAGAAGCACCAUGAGUCAAUUUUGGAAAAUAGCAGACCACUGCUGGCUCCCAUGCUCCACCGUCUGCUCUCCUGCCAGGCCACCCACCUGCCGGGCCACUCGCCCACUCUGGGCCUCAGUCCUGCACUUCAGUUUAUCCCGCUCCUUCCCUCGGCAGGCACUCUUGGUGGCCUCACUCUCGGCCGCCUCUCCAGUCCAGUCUCCCUGAGGACUGUGCCAGGGCACUGGUUGGCCACCCUCAGCCACACAAGCUGCCUGGGUCCACAACUGCUAUGGGGAGGUCUCUGCAGAGAUGGGCCAGGAGCCAGGACAGAGCAGGCAGCAGCACAGUCCCCCAACGGGUGAGGAGCCAGCAGCCGGUGUCAGGCAGUUGGGGCCUUUAUCGCCUGGGAGACCACUCAAGAUCCCAGCACUCCAGGCCGAUCCACCAGCUUCCCUCAGCCUCAUUCCUGCACUGGUUCCCUUUAACUGGCAAAGGUUGCGCACCCACCAAGACAACAGGCAACCAUUGCUCUGUGAAUUGUCUAAGGUCUCCAUAAGGGCUACAUCUACACUUUAAAAGUGUCCUAAAAAUCAUAGAGAAAGAGGUAAACUUUUUGUAUGUGGUCAGAUUGCUGAUAGGACUCAAAAACAUAAAAAGUAAAAGGACCAUAAUACAUUUACUGUCUGGUUUCUAUAUACAGUAUUUUGAAAUCCUGUACAACCAAAAGAAAACAAACAACCUCCCCACUUAACCAUC